AACGCGAAGAACCUUACCAAGGCUUGACAUGAACCGGUAAUACCUGGAGACAGGUGCCCCGCUUGCGGUCGGUUUACAGGUGGUGCAUGGUUGUCGUCAGCUCGUGUCGUGAGAUGUUGGGUUAAGUCCCGCAACGAGCGCAACCCUCGUUCUAUGUUGCCAGCACGUGAUGGUGGGGACUCAUAGGAGACUGCCGGGGUCAACUCGGAGGAAGGUGGGGACGACGUCAAAUCAUCAUGCCCCUUAUGUCUUGGGCUUCACGCAUGCUACAAUGGCCGGUACAAAGGGUUGCGAUACUGUGAGGUGGAGCUAAUCCCAAAAAGCCGGUCUCAGUUCGGAUUGGGGUCUGCAACUCGACCCCAUGAAGUCGGAGUCGCUAGUAAUCGCAGAUCAGCAACGCUGCGGUGAAUACGUUCCCGGGCCUUGUACACACCG
rnacentral:rRNA from 2 species